rnacentral:rRNA from 1 species
AUUGAACGCUGGCGGCAGGCCUAACACAUGCAAGUCGAGCGGAUGAAGGGAGCUUGCUCCUGGAUUCAGCGGCGGACGGGUGAGUAAUGCCUAGGAAUCUGCCUGGUAGUGGGGGAUAACGUCCGGAAACGGGCGCUAAUACCGCAUACGUCCUGAGGGAGAAAGUGGGGGAUCUUCGGACCUCACGCUAUCAGAUGAGCCUAGGUCGGAUUAGCUAGUUGGUGGGGUAAAGGCCUACCAAGGCGACGAUCCGUAACUGGUCUGAGAGGAUGAUCAGUCACACUGGAACUGAGACACGGUCCAGACUCCUACGGGAGGCAGCAGUGGGGAAUAUUGGACAAUGGGCGAAAGACUGAUCCAGACAUGCCGCGUGUGUGAAGAAGGUCUUCGGAUUGUAAAGCACUUUAAGUUGGGAGGAAGGGCAGUAAGUUAAUACCUUGCUGUUUUGACGUUACCAACAGAAUAAGCACCGGCUAACUUCGUG